rnacentral:lncRNA from 1 species
GGGUUGAAGCCAAACAGCCAAAUUCUGCCAUCCGGAAGUGUGUCAGGGUGCAGCUCAUUAAGAACGGCAAGAAGAUCACAGCGUUCGUGCCCAAUGACGGUUGCUUGAACUUCAUUGAGGUGACUUGUCUUAUGAUUGUGCUGGGGGGGGUCUUUAAAUUAUUUACUCUGGGAAGUGGGUAUUUCUUUUAAUUGCCAGUAAUGCCUAUGAUGGACUUUAUUUUAUUUCAGGAAAAUGAUGAAGUUCUGGUUGCUGGAUUUGGUCGCAAAGGCCAUGCCGUGGGUGAUAUUCCUGGAGUCCGCUUUAAGGUGGUUAAAGUAGCCAAUGUGUCUCUUUUGGCUCUGUACAAAGGCAAGAAGGAAAGACCAAGAUCAUAAAAUUUUGACAAUGGAAACAGAAUAAUAAAUUUUCAUAUCCAGAA